GAAUCUUUGCCAGGCCAGUGAGCAGAGGCCACAUUUGCAUGAAGGGGCUGUUCUCUGGUCCUGCAGCGUUUAAAAGAAGGAGGUGGAGAUUCCGUCCAGGUAUCUUCCUGAAGCAAAGUCAGACACCUCCGGAGAGAGCUCACCAUGGCCUGGGCUGUGUUUUUUCUCGCCCUCCUCAGCUUCCUCUCAGGUAUCCGUUCACAGCUGACAAUGAAUCCGCCUGCCUCGGCCUCUGUGUCUCCGGGAGAAACUGUGACGCUCUCCUGCACCAGAAGAAGUGAUGAGAGCUGGGAUUCCGUCUCCUGGAUUCAGAAGAGACCUGAGCAGGCCCCUCGUUUUGUGCUCCACGGUUCCAGCACCCGGGGGGAAGGGAUCCCACAUCGAUUCAAUGGCUCAGCCUCUGGGAACACUGGCCGUUUAACCAUAGCUAAUGCCCAGCCUGAAGAUGCGGGAGAUUAUUACUGCGCUGAAUGGU